CGUUGAAAGACGGGUUCCUACAUGAUCACCAAAGUUAAGCAAUAUUGAGCUUGGUCAGUACCUAGAUGGGUGACCCCUUGAGAAUACCAGGUUCUGUAAG